rnacentral:rRNA from 1 species
CUGGCUCAGAUUGAACGCUGGCGGCGUGCUUAACACAUGCAAGUCGUGCGAGAAAGGGGGCUCGGUCCCUGAGUAGAGCGGCGCACGGGUGAGUAACGCGUGGAUAAUCUCCCCCAGAAGUUCGGGAUAACGGCGGGAAACUGCCGCUAAUACCGGAUACGCUCCAAUUUCGGUUGGGGGAAAGGCGGCCUCUGUUUACAAGCUGUCGCUUCUGGAUGAGUCCGCGUCCCAUUAGCUUGUUGGUGGGGUAAUGGCCUACCAAAGGCUACGAUGGGUAGCUGGUCUGAGAGGAUGAUCAGCCACACUGGAACUGAAACACGGUCCAGACUCCUACGGGAGGCAGCAGUGGGGAAUAUUGCGCAAUGGGGGAAACCCUGACGCAGCGACGCCGUGUGGAGGGAUGAAGGCUUUCGGGUCGUAAACCUCUGUCGGGAGGGAAGAACCUUCUAGGUCCUAAUAAGACUUGGAACUGACGGUACCUCCAAAGGAAGCACCGGCUAACUCCGUGCCAGCAGCAGC